GACGAACGCUGGCGGCGCGCUUAACACAUGCAAGUCGAGCGAAGCGGCGGACGGGUGAGUAACACGUGAGUAACCUGCAUUAGACAUUGGGAUAGCCUCGGGAAACCGGGAUUAAUACAAAAUGGUCUAAGAUGGACUCGCUUCCCAUUAGCUAGAUGGUGAGGUAACGGCACAACAAGGCGACGAUGGGUAGCCGGCCGGAGAUGGUGAACGGCCACAUUGGACCUGAGAAACGGUCCAAACUCUACGGGAGGCAGCAGUGGGGAAUAUUGCACAAUGGAGGGAACGCUGAUGCAGUGACGCCGCGUGAACGAAGAAGGCUUUCGAGUCGUAAAGUUCUGUUAUAUGGGAAGCGGUACCAUAAGAAAAAGCCCCGGCUAACUACGUGCCAGCAGCCGCGGUAAUUC
rnacentral:rRNA from 1 species